GUGUCAGCAGCCGCGGUAAAACGUAGGAGCCAAGCGUUAUCCGAAUUCACUGGGCGUAAAGCGUGUGCAGGCGGCAUGUUAAGUUGGAUGUGAAAUCUCCUGGCUCAACUGGGAGAGGCCGUUCAAUACUGGCAGGCUAGAGGGCAACAGAGGAAGGUAGAAUUCCCGGUGUAGUGGUGAAAUGCGUAGAUAUCGGGAGGAAUACCAGUGGCGAAGGCGACCUUCUGGGUUGCACCUGACGCUCAGACACGAAAGCUAGGGGAGCGAACGGGAUUAGAAACCCCGGUAGUCCUAGCCGUAAACGAUGUAGACUUGGUGUCGGCGGGGUAAAAGCCGUCGGUGCCGAAGCCAACGCGAUAAGUCUACCGCCUGGGGACUACGGCCGCAAGGUUAAA
rnacentral:rRNA from 1 species